UGGCAAGCGUUGUCCGGAUUUACUGGGCGUAAAGAGCNCGCAGGCGGUCGNUCAAGUCGCGUGUGAAAGCCCCCGGCUCAACUGGGGAGGGUCACNCGAUACUGAUCGACUCGAAGGCAGGAGAGGGUAGUGGAAUUCCCGGUGUAGUGGUGAAAUGCGUAGAUAUCGGGAGGAACACCAGUGGCGAANGCGACUACCUGGCCUGUUCUUGACGCUGANGCGCGAAAGCUAGGGGAGCAAACGGGAUUAGAUACCCCGGUAGUCCUAGCCGUAAACGAUGGACACUANGUGUUGGUGGUAUCAACCCCGCCAGUGCCGAAGCUAACGCAUUAAGUGUCCCGCCUGGGGAGUACGGCCGCAAGGCUAAAACUCAAAGG
rnacentral:rRNA from 1 species